rnacentral:rRNA from 1 species
UACCAGCACCCCGAGUGGUCGGGACGUUUUAUUGGGCCUAAAGCAUCCGUAGCCGGUUCUACAAGUCUUCCGUUAAAUCCAACUGCUUAACAGAUGGGCUGCGGAAGAUACUAUAGAGCUAGGAGGCGGGAGAGGCAAGCGGUACUCGAUGGGUAGGGGUAAAAUCCGUUGAUCCAUUGAAGACCACCAGUGGCGAAGGCGGCUUGCCAGAACGCGCUCGACGGUGAGGGAUGAAAGCUGGGGGGAGCAAACCGG